UAAAAUUGGUCAAAGGAGGGUUUUUACCAAAUUAAUAUCAUUCAUUCAUUUUGGGAGAUGGAAUGUACAUUCCAUCAAUCCCCUAAAUUCAAUGAUAUUAACUUAACAAAGCCAAAUCAACCUUGACUAAGGCCAAACAACAUAAGUCAAACUUACACAAAUCAUCACAAGAUGUCAACACAAUUAUUUGACAUUUAUUCAAUUAAAAAAAUACUAAAAUAAGGC
rnacentral:lncRNA from 1 species